rnacentral:rRNA from 1 species
CCGGUUGAUCCUGCCGGAGGCGACCGCUAUUGGAAUUCGAUUAAGCCAUGCGAGUCGAGAGUCUUAGGGACUCGGCGUACCGCUCAGUAACACGUGGGUAACCUGCCCUGUGCUGGGGAAUAACCUCGGGAAACUGAGAAUAAUGCCCCAUAAUUCACUACGCCUGGAACGGUGGGUGGAUCAAAGCUCCGGCGGCACAGGAUGGGCCUGCGGCGUAUCAGGUCGUAGGGGGUGUAAUGUACCCUCUAGCCUUCAACGCGUACGGGUUGUGGGAGCAAUCGCCCGGAGAUGGAUUCUGAGACACGAAUCCAGACCCUACGGGGUGCAGCAGGCGCGAAAACUUCACACUGCAGGAAACUGUGAUGAGGGAAUUCCAAGUGGCCAGACAAAGUCUGGUCUUUUACCAACUUUUAAUCGGUUGGUGAAUAAGGGGUGGGAAAGACCGGUGCCAGCCGCCGCGGUAAUACCGGCACCUCAAGUGGUCGUCGCUUUUAUUGGGCCUAAAACGUCCGUCGCCUGUUUGGUACAUUCGUGGGUAAAUCAAGCCGCUUAACGGCUUGAAUUCUGCGAGGACGGCCAGACUAGGGACCGGGAGAGGUAUGGGGUACUCUCAGGGUAGGGGUAAAAUCCAGUCAUCCUGAGGGGACCACCUGUUGCGAAGGCGCCAUACUAGAACGGAUCCGACGGUCAGGGACGAAGCCUAGGGGCACGAACCGGAUUAGAUACCCGGGUAGUCCUAGGUGUAAACGCUGUGGACUUGGUGUUGGGGAUUCUACGAGUAUCUCCAGUGCCGGAGUGAAGAUGUUAAGUCCACUGCCUGGGGAGUACGGUCGCAAGGCUGAAACUUAAAGGAAUUGGCGGGGGAGCACAGCAACGAGAGGAGCGUGCGGUUUAAUUGGAUCAACGCCGG